UCUGAUGGCGACCGGCGUACGGGUGAGUAACGCGUAUCCAACCUGCCCUUUACUAUGGGACAACCCGCCGAAAGGCGGGCUAAACCCGCGUACAUGCCACCGGGGCAUCCCGGAGGCAGGAAAGGCUUCGGCCGGACAGGGAUGGGCAUGCGGCGCAUUAGGCAGUAGGCGGGGUAACGGCCCACCUAACCGACGAUGCGUAGGGGUUCUGAGAGGAAGGUCCCCCACACUGGUACUGAGACACGGACCAGACUCCUACGGGAGGCAGCAG
rnacentral:rRNA from 1 species